rnacentral:rRNA from 1 species
UGGGGAAUCUUCCGCAAUGGACGAAAGUCUGACGGAGCAACGCCGCGUGAGUGAUGACGGCCUUCGGGUUGUAAAGCUCUGUUAAUCGGGACGAAUGGUUCUUGUGCAAAUAGUGCGAGGAUUUGACGGUACCGGAAUAGAAAGCCACGGCUAACUACGUGCCAGCAGCCGCGGUAAUACGUAGGUGGCAAGCGUUGUCCGGAAUUAUUGGGCGUAAAGCGCGCGCAGGCGGAUUGGUCAGUCUGUCUUAAAAGUUCGGGGCUUAACCCCGUGAUGGGAUGGAAACUGCCAAUCUAGAGUAUCGGAGAGGAAAGUGGAAUUCCUAGUGUAGCGGUGAAAUGCGUAGAUAUUAGGAAGGACACCAGUGGCGAAGGCGACUUUCUGGACGAAAACUGACGCUGAGGCGCGAAAGCCAGGGGAGCGAGCGGG